rnacentral:rRNA from 1 species
UGGGGGAUAUUGCACAAUGGGCGAAAGCCUGAUGCAGCAACGCCGCGUGAGUGAAGAAGGUAUUCGUAUCGUAAAGCUCUGUCGUAUGAGAAGAAAAAAAUGACGGUAUCAUACAAGAAAGCCCCGGCUAACUACGUGCCAGCAGCCGCGGUAAUACGUAGGGGGCAAGCGUUAUCCGGAAUUACUGGGCGUAAAGGGUGCGUAGGCGGUAAUUUAAGUCAGAGUUAAAAGGCAAGGGCUCAACCCUUGUAUGGCUUUGAAACUAAAUUACUUGAGUAUAGGAGAGGAAAGUGGAAUUCCCAGUGUAGCGGUGAAAUGCGUAGAUAUUGGGAGGAAUACCAGUGGCGAAGGCGACUUUCUGGACUAAAACUGACGCUGAGGCACGAAAGCAUGGGUAGCAAACA